rnacentral:rRNA from 1 species
GAUGAACGCUGGCGGCGUGCCUAAUACAUGCAAGUCGAGCGAACAGACGAGGAGCUUGCUCCUCUGACGUUAGCGGCGGACGGGUGAGUAACACGUGGAUAACCUACCUAUAAGACUGGGAUAACUUCGGGAAACCGGAGCUAAUACCGGAUAAUAUAUUGAACCGCAUGGUUCAAUAGUGAAAGACGGUUUUGCUGUCACUUAUAGAUGGAUCCGCACCGCAUUAGCUAGUUGGUAAGGUAACGGCUUACCAAGGCAACGAUGCGUAGCCGACCUGAGAGGGUGAUCGGCCACACUGGAACUGAGACACGGUCCAGACUCCUACGGGAGGCAGCAGUAGGGAAUCUUCCGCAAUGGGCGAAAGCCUGACGGAGCAACGCCGCGUGAGUGAUGAAGGUCUUCGGAUCGUAAAACGCUGUUAUUAGGGAAGAACAAAUGUGUAAGUAACUAUGCACGUCUUGACGGUACCUAAUCAGAAAGCCACGGCUAACUACGU